GAUGAACGCUGGCGGCGUGCCUAAUACAUGCAAGUCGAGCGAACAGAUGAGGAGCUUGCUCCUCUGACGUUAUCGGCGGACGGGUGAGUAACACGUGGAUAACCUACCUAUAAGACUGGGAUAACUUCGGGAAACCGGAGCUAAUAACGGAUAAUAUAUUGACCUGCAUGGUUCAAUAGUGAAAGAUGGUUUUGCUGUCACUUAUAGCUUGAUCCGCGCCGCAUUAGCUAGUUGGUAAGGUAACGGCUUACCAAGGCAACGAUGCGUAGCCGACCUGAGAGGGUGAUCGGCCACACUGGAACUGAGACACGGUCCAGACUCCUACGGGAGGCAGCAGUAGGGAAUCUUCCGCAAUGGGCGAAAGCCUGACGGAGCAACGCCGCGUGAGUGAUGAAGGUCUUCGGAUCGUAAAACUCUGUUAUUAGGGAAGAACAAAUGUGUAAGUAACUAUGCACGUCUUGACGGUACCUAAUCAGAAAGCCACGGCUAACUACGUG
rnacentral:rRNA from 1 species